ACAGAGUUCUACUACCAUGUGGAUGAUUAUCAUGUGGUAUCUCCACACAGCCUUCCUCUUGGGCCCUUUGGGGACAGACUCUGAAUUCUCAUAGUCAUAUGCACUUCUUGGCUCCAUGCCAGGGAUAGAGCAGUUUCUCAACAAAUUUAUGAGAGAAGGAGGAGAUUUGUAAACAUGCAAAGCAGAGCACAGGUUAGGGAGUCCAUGGCCCCAAGAGCCUGGUUUCUGCCUGUUCGAUGCCAGAAUCUGAAAAGCUCUGCCGUCCCUGCCCUAGUUGUCUGUGAAGUCCAGACUUGUAAUUAAAAUUCCUCUGCUUGAGGUGGCCUGAGCCUCCCUCUCCCUGGAGAGCUGGAACCUGGGCUUCUCCCUCUCCAAACCCCCCUUGAGGCCUUUCAGACAACAGUAUAGACCACAACACACACUCCUGAAGUCACCCUGUUAUAAACCAGGCACUCUCAUCUAAUCUUCAUUGCCACCUCCUGGAGAGAGAGUGGGGGACGGUGACACUGAUCCCCACGUGAGAAUCCCAGGCCAG
rnacentral:lncRNA from 1 species